AUCCUUUUGGGUUCAUAAGCAUGAUGAUUGGGUGUUCAUACUGUAUGUUUUGAGAUUUGCCUCCCUCCAAAUCUUGUUAAGAUGUCAGCACCUUACCUGUCUGAAG
rfam:Ictidomys tridecemlineatus contig107247, whole genome shotgun sequence.